UUUCUGUGGCACACAUCAGAGUCAAAUACUUGCUAGAGAACAAACUUCACUUCAGGAUAGGCAACCGAAAUUAAUAAUGAAUGUAUGUGUGUUAUAUUAAACAUAGAGGAGGGAUUGACAGCUUCCUUGAAGGAAACAAAUAAAAAAUGCAUUCUGCUACUAAGAUCAGUGAAAACUGACAACGGAGUGAAAAGCAGAAAUCUCAACUACCAAGCAAGUCGCAGCAAUGGAGAAUUGAGUGUGUGCGCGUCCUCCCAAAGGGAUGGAGAAUUCUGUCGGGGGAGAUUUUCGGUACAACACCUGUUACCUUCAGACAAAUUCCCUGGGUCGAAGAGUAAAGGAGAACACCAUCGUGUUCGUAAGAGUCUCACCUUUCCAUAGGUUUUAAUACGAUAAAAUAUCUAAUUUUAUGACAAACGGCGGAGAAUGGGUGGUUCUGUGUAGCCUAGUUAUGAUAAUAUAGGCUAUUUGAGACCAAUGCACUGCAGUUAAUUUCGUCUUUGACCUAAUAAGUCAAAUAUCUUUGAGUGUAUUUGAGUAGUAAACAGGUAAACAACAACGAGUCCUAGACAGUUUGCAAUAGAACAUACCAGAGGGGGGCAUUGUUUACUAGGCUACUUAAAUGAUUGGGAGCAUCUGGUUACCAGCAGUGUUCAGAACACAUUGAGUUUAUGACAAAACAGAUCAGAGGACACCUUUUCACACAGAGAUGUAUUUAUAGCAGUGAAUGUCAUGUAUUUCUAAGUAGCAGACAUAUCAGGCAGGGAAACUAAUUGUUCACAUUUUGAUAGAACAUUCCAAAUGUACAGCUUGACGGUGGCGCUCUUUAGCCUACCUGCAUUGUUAGGAUGUUGAUGUGAUCACAACAAAACUACUUAUUGGGCUCAAAUAGAGAUAUCAUUUUUCUUUGAAAAAAUAGGCUUGGCUGAGAAAAGAAGAUUCAGUUUUCUGCCCGAGUGUGGCGCUGAUUACAGCAAUUUUCUGGAUUAUCUCGUGACCAGAACAAAACUACCUAUUUUACUAGAGAUUGAAAUAAAUGGGGUUUCUUUGAAGAGAUGGGCCUGGCUGACAACUGUUUUCUCACCUUAUUCUCCUUAAGGUGAUCCAUGGUUGUUGGUUAUUUACCAGGAGGGCCUGGCUGACAUGAAAAAUGCAUUAAAGGGAAAGGAUCCAUGGACACACAGGCUGAUUAUCUUCCUGCACAUCUCUUCAUUUACCAUGCUGGCUGCCAUGGUUAACACACAGGACAUUGAAUGCUACCUGAAUUGACUCAGAAAAGUAACAUAAGUAGGCCUACAGUAUCACAGCGAGGUCAAACAGAGGGCCUGAGGCUCUGGGACCGUGACUGAGGACACCCUGGCCUGAUACCUCGACAUGCCUAGCCCAAUCCAAGCUGGCCACACUCUACUUCCUACCUGCCUGUUACCAUGACGACUUUGUGAAAAGCGAUCUGACCAUAGGGUCUUGAAUGUAUGCUUUUAUACAGCCUAUAUCUUUGUAUUACAGCAGUCAAAUAGAGUAUUGAAAACUGGAAGUGUGACUUCUUUCCCUAAUGAUUUCCUAUGGCUGAGGUAUUUUGUUAGUAAUCAGGUAUUCCAUACCAAGGCUAGAUGAGCCUGAAUGGCAACACCAGACAAAUGCAAUGCAACUAAUUAAUCUCAUUGUUCAGUCUGUUGAAUAUUCCAUUAAUGAAAAUAUGGAUUUGUUGGCUGAAUUAAGGUUUUAUUAAAACUUCAAAAGAGGUCACACACAAUAGGGUAUGUUUAUAAAAUAAACUAAUUGACAAGAAAAGUAAUUUACAACAUCAAUUAAUGUCACCACCUCUCCCUUUAUUUUGCUUAACUGGGGGAAUGGGAGAAAUGGUUUACAGUAGGCAGGGUAGUGCUCAACAAGCAGAAUGCAUACCAAAUGACACCCUGUUACUUUUGCCUGUAUAAUGCAUUACUUUUGACCAGAGCCCUAUGAACCCAGGUCAAAAUUAGUGCACUGUGUAUUGGGAAAAUGGUGCCAAUUGGGAGACAUUCCAUCUGUUGAUGAAGCCACCUAAAAAUCAAUGACUGCAUACCAAUUAUCCAUCCCUCGCCUAAUGGAUUUGUGGAUUUGUGUAAAAAUUAGCUUGAGCUACUUUACGCCAUUGUUAAAUGGACAUGCAGCCAAAGUUAAUGGUCACACACCUUUGAGUCAUUAGUAAUAAGGUGUUAUAUAAACUAGCAAAUAAUUGACACAAGUUGUUACAGUAGUGGGUAAGACAUUGGAUCCAGAGCUGUAUAAGUUAAUUAUGGACUUUAAAGUAACAGGCAGGAAGCAUGUAGAGGGGAGCCAGGUGGGAUUGGGCCAGGCACGUCCAGGUGUCAGGCCAGGGUGUCCUCAGUCACGGUCCAAGUGCCUCAGCCCCUCUGGAAAGAGAGACGGAGAAAAAUAAAAGUUAGUGAAAGAAUGGCUAAAACUAUAGCACACACCACAUGCACUGGGGUAGAGAACAAUCAAGUGUUGCUGUGGGAACUGGAUAAUCUGACUAACACACACAUAUACCCGUUUGACCUCUGUCACUGUAGGCCUGUUUAUGUUACCCUGUGUGAUUCAAUUCCAGUAGCAUUCAAUGUCCUGGGUUUGUGUUAACCAUGGCAGCCAGCAUUGUAAAUAAAGAGACACAGACAGAUAAUCAGUCUGUGGGUCCCAUCCCCUUAAUGUAUUUUUCAUUUCAGCCAGGCCUGUUUUCAAAGAAAUACCAUUUAAUUCAAUCUUGAGUUGAGUAAAAUAAGUUGUUUUGUUCUUAACCAAAUAGCACAGAAAAUUGCAGUAAACAGCCCCACACUUAGACAG